GAACCACCUCCGCCUGCCCCUCAAUCUUGGCCUCCAACUUCCCAGUUUCUAUUUCAACCAGAAGAGAAAAUGCUGAGCCCUCACUGACCAUGGGAGAGUCAGCUGCUCAGCUGCUCAACCCCGCGGCCUCAGAAGGGGCAGAGGUCUCAGGCCUACCGGCCUGUGGUGGCCUCCUUAUUCUCCAGAGCCGUCCUGGGCCAGGGGCCGCCCAGCCCACUGCCCGAGCCAAGCACCCUCCCCGCUAGGGCCAGACGGAACCCCAUGUGGGGUGAAGGCAGAGCCAAGCUGAAAACCAAGGAGAGGCUGUACCCAGGCAGUCCCAGCCACCUGCAAGGGGCAGCACCGUCCAAGAUUCCGUCGAGCGGCGAGGCCAGCACCCCCAAGUCCUGGGCCGGACACCAGAUGCCAGAGCUUCACGGAGCCCCUCACCCACCUGCUCACCUCAGCGGCUGGCACCAAGGCGCCAACAGCAUCCCACAGCUGGGGAGGAAAACUGGAAUGCAGGCCCCCAGUGCCAGCAGGGCUCGCUGUGAAAGGAGAGGGCCGGGGGCCUCCCAAGGAGAACUUCGGGGGACUCUUCCCACUCCCUCACUCUGCGGCUACAGAGCCCCCCAGCCGGCUUGGGAGCGGAGAGGAUUCUGGGCUCGGCCCCUGGAGGGAGAACGCAGCCCCCCUGAGCUCUGAAGCAGCACCGGGCUGUGGCUCAGAGGGGCGGGCAGCUCCUUGUGAACGAGGCCCUUCUCAGGAGUUCCCACAGACGAAGCCAUCCCACUACACAAACAGCCCCUAACGACCCUUUUCUGAAACCAAAUUUAAAACGAGACGGCAGGAAAAUGGAAGGGGUCCUGCUCCCGCCGCGGCUUGCCUCACUCGUAAGUGUCGGCAGCUGCUGCUCGCUUCUCAAGGUCGAAAGGAGCCCCCUGGACAGGACUCAGCAGGACAACGGGGCAACCUUCCAAUUUCAAAGAAAACCGCUGCCCUGCCCGGCGUGGGCCCUGCGGGGCCUGAGCCUCGCGGCCUGAGGCCUGCCCCCUCCGCAGGGCUCCUCCCCAGCUCAGCCCCGUCCCGGACUCAGGGGGGCCCUGGAAGGGCGGGGGCGCCUGGGAAGGACGGGAGGGGUGGGGGCGGCGCACAGCGGCCAGGGACGGAGACUCUGGGAGCCGGGGGGACCCACAGAGGGCAGGGAGGCCAUGGCUUCCAGGCGGGGCUGCCCAUGAGUUCUGUGUCCGCCCCCGGCAGGGCUCGACCCUGGUGCGUCCCCAGCAUGUUUCUUGGGGGCGCUGGAGGCUGCUGAUGCUGCCCAGAGUGGCCGGACACUCCUGCCCGAGGCCUCCUUCCG
rnacentral:lncRNA from 1 species